UACGAAGGGGGCUAGCGUUGUUCGGAAUUACUGGGCGUAAAGCGCACGUAGGCGGAUCGAUCAGUCAGGGGUGAAAUCCCAGGGCUCAACCCUGGAACUGCCUUUGAUACUGUCGAUCUGGAGUAUGGAAGAGGUGAGUGGAAUUCCGAGUGUAGAGGUGAAAUUCGUAGAUAUUCGGAGGAACACCAGUGGCGAAGGCGGCUCACUGGCCCGAUACUGACGCUGAGGUGCGAAAGCGUGGGGAGCAAACAGGG
rnacentral:rRNA from 1 species